rnacentral:rRNA from 1 species
GAUGAACGCUGGCGGCGUGCUUAACACAUGCAAGUCGAACGAAGCUGCCUGGAGGAAGUUUUCGGAUGGAAUUUAGGUAGACUUAGUGGCGGACGGGUGAGUAACGCGUGGAUAACCUGCCUUAUACAGGGGGAUAACGGAGAGAAAUUUCCGCUAACACCGCAUAAGACCACAGCACCGCAUGGUGCAGGGGUAAAAUAUUUAUAGGUAUAAGAUGGAUCCGCGUCCGAUUAGCUAGUUGGUGAGGUAAAGGCCCUCCAAGGCGACGAUCGGUAGCCGGCCUGAGGGGGUGAACGGCCACAUUGGGACUGAGACACGGCCCAAACUCCUACGGGAGGCAGCAGUGGGGAAUAUUGGACAAUGGGGGAAACCCUGAUCCAGCGACGCCGCGUGAGUGAAGAAGUAUUUCGGUAUGUAAAGCUCUAUCAGCAGGGAAGAAAAUGACGGUACCUGACUAAGAAGCCCCGGCUAACUACGUGCCAGCAGCCGCGGUAAUACGUAGGGGGCAAGCGUUAUCCGGAUUUACUGGGUGUAAAGGGAGCGCAGACGGCAAUGCAAGUCUGAAGUGAAAGGCGUGGGCUCAACCCACGAACUGCUUUGGAAACUGUAUAGCUUGAGUGUCGGAGGGGUAAGCGGAAUUCCUAGUGUAGCGGUGAAAUGCGUAGAUAUUAGGAGGAACACCGGAGGCGAAGGCGGCUUACUGGACGACAACUGACGUUGAGGCUCGAGGGCGUGAGGAGCAAACAGG